AUGAAUUGGGUUCGCCAAAGGCCUGGCAAGACGCUGGAAUGGCUGGCAGGGAUCUUCAACGAUGGAAGUUACAUCGCCUAUGCACCAUCAGUGCGGGGCCAGUUCUCGAUCUCCAGGGACAACGGGCAGAGUUUGGUGACGUUGACCAUGAACAGUCUCAAGGACGAGGAUUCCGCCGUUUAUUUCUGCGCCAAAGCCGUGACCCUGCUGGAGUCCGGGGGUGACCUCCAGCCCCCCGGGGCCACCUUGGCCCUUGUUUACCGCGGCUCUGGAUUCAGUUUUGGGGGUUACGAAAUGAGAUGGGUCCGGCAGAGCUUCGGGAAGGGGCUUGAAUUCGUGGCACUGAUCAGCGGCGAUGGAGGUUACACCUUCUAUGGGGCCUCGGUCAAGGGCCGGUUCUGGAUCUCCAGGGACAACGGGCAGAGCUCGGUGACGCUGACCAUGAACAGCCUCAAGGACGAGGAUUCCGCCGUUUAUUUCUGCGCCAAAGAUUACGGCAAUUACUACGGUGCUGCUGCUACUGCUGCUGCAGAUUUCCUCUCCCUUCCCUCGUGGCUGUUGCCCUGA